GCCCCGGUGGCGGAACUGGCAGACGCACCGGACUUAAAAUCCGAGGCCCUUCGGGGCGUGUGGGUUCAAAUCCCACCCGGGGCACCA
rnacentral:tRNA from 1 species